GAUUACGGCCAUACCACACUGACAACGCCCGAUCUCGUCUGAUCUCGGAAGCUAAGCAGAGUUGGGCUGGGUCAGUACUUGGAUGGGUGACCGCCUGGGAAUACCUGGUGCUGUAAGCA
ensembl:rRNA 5S_rRNA 5S ribosomal RNA